GUCUAUGGCCAAGCCACCCUGAUUGUCUCAUCUUGGAAGCUAACCAGGGUCGGACCCAGUUAGUACUUUGGAUGGGAGACCACCUAGGAAGACCAGGUGUUGUGGGUG
rnacentral:rRNA from 1 species